ACCACCAAAAGCUGACCCAUCCUCGCCCGAAGUGGAGAGCUGAUUGCAAUGGAACUUUCUAGGGCCAGGGAAAUAUUCUAUAACUGGAUUAUGGUGUGAUUACACUGAGCUUCUGGGGUUUGCUGGCAACCUUUGGUGUUUCUUAGCCUGCAGAAGCAUCACCCUAACUUCUGCUCCCAGCAUCAUAUGGCUGUCUUCUCCCUGUGUGUCUCUGUGUCUUCACAUGCCAUCUCUCUUAAAAGGACACCAGAUACAUUGGGUUAAGGGCCCGUCUGACUCCAGGGUGACUUCAUCUUGAGUAAUUACAUCUGCAGCAACCCUAUUUCCAAAUAAGGGAAACACUCCACCUCUCCUGGGAGCACUUUGUCAGUCUUUGAAAUCUGGAUUACUUGGCAACCUUGCAAAGAUAGCUGUCAGCUUGACAAUAAGCUCAAGAGAAGUUAUGAUUCUGCAGAUUAUCCAAGUUCUUCUUAUUACUAAGGUCAGCGGCAGAACUCAAAGUACAACAGGGACAGCGGAGAGUCUCGGAUCCAUCCGGUGUCUUGGUACAUGCGUUUCCC
rnacentral:lncRNA from 1 species